rnacentral:rRNA from 1 species
AAUGAACGCUGGCGGCAUGCCUAACACAUGCAAGUCGAACGAAGGCUUCGGCCUUAGUGGCGCACGGGUGCGUAACGCGUGGGAAUCUGCCCUUGGGUUCGGAAUAACAGUUAGAAAUGACUGCUAAUACCGGAUGAUGUCGUGAGACCAAAGAUUUAUCGCCCAAGGAUGAGCCCGCGUAGGAUUAGCUAGUUGGUGGGGUAAAGGCCCACCAAGGCGACGAUCCUUAGCGGGUCUGAGAGGAUGAUCAGCCACACUGGGACUGAGACACGGCCCAGACUCCUACGGGAGGCAGCAGUGGGGAAUAUUGGACAAUGGGCGAAAGCCUGAUCCAGCAAUGCCGCGUGAGUGAUGAAGGCCUUAGGGUUGUAAAGCUCUUUUACCCGGGAUGAUAAUGACAGUACCGGGAGGAUAAGCUCCGGCUAACUUCGUGCCAGCCGCCGCGGUAAAAC